AGAGUUUGAUCCUGGCUCAGGAUGAACGCUGGCGGCGUGCUUUAUACAUGCAAGUCGAACGUGAAGCUGACUUCGGUCAGUGGAAAGUGGCGGACGGGUGAGUAAUACAUAGGAAAUCUGCCCUUAGGAAGGGGAUAACAGUCGGAAACGAUUGCUAAUACCCUAUAUGAGCUUGGUUGCAAUACCAAUCUUGAAAACUCCGGUGCCUAAGGAUGAGCCUGUGCCUGAUUAGCUUGUUGGUGGUGUAAUGGACCACCAAGGCGACGAUCAGUAGCUGGUUUGAGAGGAUGAUCAGCCACAAUGGAACUGAGACACGGUCCAUACUCCUACGGGAGGCAGCAGUAGGGAAUUUUGGGCAAUGGGCGAAAGCCUGACCCAGCAACGCCGCGUGUGUGAUGAAGCCCCUAGGGGUGUAAAACACUGUCAGUAGGGAAGAACUAAUGACUGUACCUACAGAGGAAGCACCGGCUAACUCCGUGCCAGCAGCCGCGGUAAUACGGAGGGUGCAAGCGUUAUCCGGAAUCAUUGGGCGUAAAGAGUUCGUAGGCGGUUUGUCAAGUCCGGUGUUAAAUCCCGAAGCUUAACUUCGGUCCGGCACUGGAUACUGAUAGACUAGAAUGCGGUAGAGGUAAAGGGAAUUCCUGGUGGAGCGGUGAAAUGCGUAGAUAUCAGGAGGAACACCGGUGGCGUAAGCGCUUUACUGGGCCGUUAUUGACGCUGAGGAACGAAAGCCGGGGGAGCAAAUGGGAUUAGAUACCCCAGUAGUCCCGGCCGUAAACGAUGGAUACUAGGUGUUGCGGGUAUCGACCCCUGCAGUGCCGCAGUUAACGCAUUAAGUAUCCCGCCUGGGGAGUACGCACGCAAGUGUGAAACUCAAAGGAAUUGACGGGGACCCGCACAAGCGGUGGAACAUGUGGUUUAAUUCGAAGCAACGCGAAAAACCUUACCAGGACUUGACAUCUAGAGAACCUUUGUGAAAGCAGAGGGUGCCCUUCGGGGAGCUCUAAGACAGGUGGUGCACGGUUGUCGUCAGCUCGUGUCGUGAGAUGUUGGGUUAAGUCCCGCAACGAGCGCAACCCUCGUUAUUAGUUGCUGAUAUUGGUACACUGAUAUUUAGCUCUCUAAUAAGACUGCCAAUGAUGAGUUGGAGGAAGGUGGGGACGACGUCAAAUCAUCAUGCCCCUUACGUUCUGGGCUACACACGUGUUACAAUGGCUAAGACAACGAGUCGCCAACUCGCGAGAGUGAGCUAAUCUCUUAAACUUAGUCUCAGUUCGGACUGCAGGCUGCAACUCGCCUGCAUGAAGUCGGAAUCGCUAGUAAACGCAGAUCAGCACGCUGCGUUGAAUACGUUCCCGGGUCUUGUACACACCGCCCGUCACACCAUGGAAGUCGAUCACGCCCGAAGUACGUGAGCUAACCGCAAGGAGGCAGCGUCCUAAGGCAGGGUUGGUGACUGGGGUGAAGUCGUAACAAGGUAACC
rnacentral:rRNA from 1 species